GGUCAAAAAUGGUAAGGCUAUUGUAUGUGCAUCAAAAGUUGGAAUUUUGGGUAAUUUUCUAAAUUUCCACAAAAAGUGUUCUAGGUUAUUUAAAAUGGCCAUCUAGAGGUGUUUCAAGGUGUUUGGAACAUUUUUUCCAACGGUCAUAAACACCCCCCGGUGGUCAAAAAUGGUAAGGCUAUAGUAUGUGCAUCAAAAGUUGGAAUUUUGGAAAAUUUUCUAAUUUUGCACAAAAAGUGUUCUAGGUUAUUCAAAAUGGUCAUCUAGAGGUGUUUCAAGGUGUUUAGAAUUUCUUUUUCUGAAGGGUCAUCCAAGUGGUCAAAAAUGGUAAGGCUAUAGUAUGUGCAUCAGUAAUUGAAAUUUUUGGGAAAUUUUCCACAUUUCCAUAAAAAGUGUUCCAGACUGUGUAAAAUGGUCAUCUAGAGGUAUUUCAAGGUGUUUGGAAAUUUUUUUUGAGGGGUCAUCUAAGUGGUCAAAAGAUGGUAAGGCUAUAUAGUAUGUGCAUCAAAAAAUGACAUUUUUGGGAAAUUUUCCAAAUUUGAAUAAAAAGUUUUCUAGGUUAUUUAAAAUGGCUAUCUAGAGGUGUUUCAAGGUGUUUGGAACAUUUUUUCCAACUGUCAUCAACACCCCUCUGUGGUCAAAAAAUGGUAAGGCUGUGUAGUAUGUGCAUCAAAAAUGAGAAUUUUGGGAAAUUUUCCAAAUUUGCAUAAAAAGUGUUCUAGGUUAUUCAAAAUGGCCAUCUAGAGGUGUUUCAAGGUGUUUGGAACAUUUUUUCCAACGGUCAUCAACACCCCCCGGUGGUCAAAAAUGGUAAGACUAUAGUAUGUGCAUCAGUAAUUGAAAUUUUCGGGAAAUUUUCCACAUUUCCAUAAAACGUGUUCAAGGUUAAUUAAAAUGGCCAUCUAGAGGUAUUUCAAGGUGUUUGGAGUUUUUUUUUUUUUUUUUUGAAGGGUCAUCCAAGUGGUCAAAAAUGGUAAGGCUAUUGUAUGUGCAUCAAAAGUUGGAAUUUUGGGUAAUUUUCUAAAUUUCCACAAAAAGUGUUCUAGGUUAUUUAAAAUGGCCAUCUAGAGGUGUUUCAAGGUGUUUGGAACAUUUUUUCCAACGGUCAUAAACACCCCCCGGUGGUCAAAAAUGGUAAGGCUAUAGUAUGUGCAUCAAAAGUUGGAAUUUUGGAAAAUUUUCUAAUUUUGCACAAAAAGUGUUCUAGGUUAUUCAAAAUGGUCAUCUAGAGGUGUUUCAAGGUGUUUGGAACAUUUUUUCCAACUGUCAUCAACACCCCUCUGUGGUCAAAAAAUGGUAAGGCUGUGUAGUAUGUGCAUCAAAAAUGAGAAUUUUGGGAAAUUUUCCAAAUUUGCAUAAAAAGUGUUCUAGGUUAUUCAAAAUGGCCAUCUAGAGGUGUUUCAAGGUGUUUGGAACAUUUUUUCCAACGGUCAUCAACACCCCCCGGUGGU